rnacentral:rRNA from 1 species
UGACGAGUGGCGCACGGGUGCGGAACGCGUAUGGAACCUGCCUCUGUCAGGGGAAUAGCCCAUGGAAACGUGGAUUAAUGCCCCAUGGUAUCCUAGUACUGCAUGGUAUUAGGAUUAAAGAUUUAUCGGACAGAGAUGGCCAUGCGUAUCAUUAGCUAGUUGGUAAGGUAACGGCUUACCAAGGCAACGAUGAUUAGGGGCCCUGAGAGGGGGAUCCCCCACACUGGUACUGAGACACGGACCAGACUCCUACGGGAGGCAGCAGUGAGGAAUAUUGGACAAUGGUGGGAACACUGAUCCAGCCAUGCCGCGUGCAGGAUGACUGCCCUAUGGGUUGUAAACUGCUUUUAUACGGGAAGAAACCCAGGUACGUGUACCUGGCUGACGGUACCGUAAGAAUAAGGACCGGCUAACUCCGUGCCAGCAGCCGCGGUAAUACGGAGGGUCCGAGCGUUAUCCGGAAUCAUUGGGUUUAAAGGGUCCGUAGGCGGGCCUAUAAGUCAGAGGUGAAAGGCCACGGCUCAACCGUGGGACUGCCUUUGAUACUGUAGGUCUUGAGUUACAGUGGGGUUGCCGGAACAUGUGGUGUAGCGGUGAAAUGCAUAGAUAUCACAUAGAACACCAAUCGCGAAGGCAGGUGGCCAACUGUAUACUGACGCUGAUGGACGAAAGCGUGGGGAGCGAACGGGAUUAGAUACCCCGGUAGUCCACGCCGUAAACGAUGGACACUAGCUGUGGGGUUUUCGGACUCCGUGGCCAAGCGAAAGUGAUAAGUGUCCCACCUGGGGAGUACGUUCGCAAGAAUGAAACUCAAAGGAAUUGACGGGGGCCCGCACAAGCGGUGGAGCAUGUGGUUUAAUUCGAUGAUACGCGAGGAACCUUACCAGGGCUUAAAUGCAGGCUGCAUGGGGCAGA